UACGUAGGGUGCAAGCGUUUAAUCGGAAUUACUGGGCGUAAAGCGUGCGCAGGCGGUUUUGUAAGUCUGUCGUGAAAUCCCCCGGGCUCAACCUGGGAAUUGCGAUGGAGACUGCAAGGCUAGAAUCUGGCAGAGGGGGGGUAGAAUUCCACGUGUAGCAGUUGAAAAUGCGUAGAGAUGUGGAGGAACACCGAUGGGCGAAGGCAGCCCCCCUGGGGUCAAGAUUGACGCUCAUGCACGAAAGCGUGGGGAGCAAACGAGG
rnacentral:rRNA from 1 species